rnacentral:rRNA from 1 species
AAUGAACGCUGGCGGCAUGCCUAACACAUGCAAGUCGAACGAAGGCUUCGGCCUUAGUGGCGCACGGGUGCGUAACGCGUGGGAAUCUGCCCUCAGGUUCGGAAUAACAGCGAGAAAUUGCUGCUAAUACCGGAUGAUAUCGCGAGAUCAAAGAUUUAUCGCCUGAGGAUGAGCCCGCGUAGGAUUAGCUAGUUGGUGUGGUAAAGGCGCACCAAGGCGACGAUCCUUAGCUGGUCUGAGAGGAUGAUCAGCCACACUGGGACUGAGACACGGCCCAG